CCCUUAGAUGUUCUGGACCGCACGCGCGCUACACUGAUGAAUGCAACGAGCUCUACCCUUGACCGAAAGGCCCGGGUAAACUUGUGAAACUUCAUCGUGAUGGGGAUAGAUUAUUGCAAUUAUUAAUCUUCAACGAGGAAUUCCUAGUAAGCGCGAGUCAUCAGCUCGCGUUGAUUACGUCCCUGCCCUUUGUACACACCGCCCGUCGCUCCUACCGAUUGAAUGGUCCGGUGAAAUCUUCGGAUUGCUGACCAAGAUCCAGCAAUGGAGCUUGGUUGCGAGAAGUUGAUUAAACCUUAUUAUUUAGAGGAAGGAGAAGUCGUAACA
rnacentral:rRNA from 1 species